CGCCCUGAUUCCCACCUCAACCGUUACCGCCCGGCGUUAAGUAUUUCAUCGUACCACGUGUACGGUUCCGAUGGCGCCUCCCUCCAUGCCAUCGUGCGCUCCACCAUCUUCUCACUUUCCCCUCGUCGACAUAUUCCUCCCCAUCUGACCUCCCCGAACUUGCUAGAUCUCGCCGCUAACCGCGUCCGUGCUUUUUCCGGCGCUUUUUCUGGUCAUUCUCCGAUGGCCAUAUUGUUGGGUGUGUUUACGCGUUGAUCGUGUGGCUGUGAGGGCAAGUUGUUGAGUUGAAGGGGAGGGGACAUUGGUUCUCAGUGACUUAAACUGCUGCUUGCAACUCAGUGAGAAGUUCGUUGAUGACAAGCUUGUUAAAGAGAGACUUAUAUAUCAAGAGUUGUCUCAUUAGCAAUAAACUUGCGGAGGAGAAGGGAGAUGUCUUUUCAUAAUCAGGAAUCUUGGAUGGCAAAAACUGCUGGGAGUCUAAAUGAUGGUGACAUGACUUAUAACAAUUCUUCUAGAGUGGGGUCCAAGCGUUUUCAUCAGUGGUUCAUGGAUAACCCUGAAGUGGAUCUGUUUCCACGAAAGAAACAAGCAGUAGAAGUUUCAAGCAAUAAUUUGUUAUCAGGAAUGUAUAGCACCAAUAACCAUUCAUGUGGAAAUUCCUCAAGUUUGCACUCAUUCAGUGGUCAUUUUUUGAACAAUUAUACGACCCAGAUGCUUCAGCUAGGGCUUUGAGUUGUGAAAACAGGAAUAUUUCCCCUCUUAGUGCAGAUAAAUUGACUGUAGGACAAAAGGAUAACAUGGAUCACUUUGGAAGCUAUUCCUCAUUUAUGACCCAUGCAAUUGACGAUCAAGGAUCAGGUCUAAACUACGGUGGAAUUAAAAAGGUUAAAAUUAGUGAGGUGAAGGAUUCUGAGAAUGUCAUGUCAGUUCCUCCAGUUCAUACCUAUGAUAUGAGAUUCAACAACCCUUUGUCAAAUCCCCAUGUGCACAGGGGGGGUGAUUAUCCUACAUCAACAAGUCUCACUUGCAACAAAGGGGAUGAGAAUAUUGUGUCCGUGGAUGAUGAUUAUGGCAGGGCAUACAACAAUUUGAUUUCAAUAUGUCAAUCGCAUAGCAAGGGAGACGAUGGCUUAUCUAUAGGUCAAACCUACAAAGAGCCUUCUAAUUCGAUAUCAAUGGGCCAGGCAUUCAGUAAGGAGGAUAGUAAUAUGUCUAUUUCUCAAGCUUAUGACAAGGCAGAGGAUAAUUCUAUUUCAAGGCAUAACAUAUUUAAUAAGGGGGAGGAUGGCACCAUUUCAGUGAAUCAUGCAUACCACCAGGAUAGAAAUAACAAGUUAUCAAUUGCUUAUUCUUAUAACAAUGGAGAAAGCACAAUUAUAUCCUUUGGUGGCUGUGAUGAUGAUGAUGGUCAUGUUAGUAUAACUCCCUCUGGCAGACUCAUAUCCAACUAUGAACUGAUGAUGGGUCAACCACCUACACAGAGAUUGGAAGCUGUGAAUGAGAAAGAGUUGGUUCUUUCUAAUUCUGGCUCAUUUCUUAGUGCCUCCCUGACAUCUGUUUCUGGAACUGGAAAUGUUUCCCAGACAAAAGAGGAAUCAAAAAUGUCUAAGAAAUUUCCUUCAAAUAACUUCCCUUCUAAUGUCAGAAGUUUGCUGUCCACUGGUAUGCUGGAUGGAGUCCCUGUGAAGUAUAUGGCCUGGUCACGGGAGGAACUUCGUGGUAUCAUAAAAGGGUCUGGGUAUUUAUGCAGCUGCCAGUCAUGUAAUUAUUCCAAGGUUAUUAAUGCAUAUGAGUUUGAGCGUCAUGCUGGUCGUAAGACCAAGCACCCCAAUAAUCACAUUUACUUUGAAAAUGGGAAAACUAUAUAUGGGGUUGUUCAGGAGCUCAGGAGCACUCCACAAAAUAUGCUGUUUGAUGUGAUUCAGACAAUAACUGGUUCACCAAUCAAUCAGAAAUCCUUCCGCAUUUGGAAAGAAUCCUUUUUAGCUGCAACACGGGAACUACAACGCAUAUAUGGAAAAGAUGAAAUGAAGCAAUUGUCAUAAAGGUGCGCCAUUUGACCUGCGAGAUAGGAGGAUCAUUAUUUCGUGCAUAGGAGUAAUCAUUUGGAUAUAUUUUUGUUAACUGAUUAUCAAAGCCUAACCCCAACUGUUUGAAUCUCCGUUUUGAGGACAAGCUAUCUUUGGUGAUAUACAUGAAAGCAUAUUUAUCUUUGAUUAAUGUAUCAUUGAUAUUGAGUUGGUAAAUUUUAUGAAGAGAAGCUGACUCAAUAUCUUUUUGUCUUACUGGUGGAGCAACAGAUUCACUAAAUGCUUGCACUCUUGUAUCAAACGGAGUUUGUUGUAUUUUUCUCAAAGUUCUUACAUUCUGUCUGUCAUUAUAUAGAUAGUUCUUUUUGGAAGUGGUGUUCUCGACUUAAGUAAGCAGCAUUCUUGAUCUAAACCCCAUUUAUUAUCUGAUAGAUGUAAGUUUGUGAGUUUCUUGGUGCUGGAUAAACCUUGUUAACAUUUUCUCAUUUUUCUGAUGCUUAAAGGAAUGAAGAAAAUAAUAGGAAAAUUUGCAUUAGUAAAUUGUAUGGUGCCAACUGAAUGUUUAAUGAUGAUCAAGGAGUCCCUUACCUCACAAGUCCAACCUGCUUUUGAAAUUUCAUGCUGCUAUUAAGAAAUAAUUGACAUCCAAUUCCUGCAUCUUUGUAUAUUGUAAUAUUCAAAGAGGAGACAUUUUCUUUGCCAUUUAUCUUCCUGCAUUAUUAUUGUAACUUGUUACAUUAUAAACCUCUGAAGGAUUAAAUAAUUGGACGUCCACAUACUGUUAUUGUGUCAUAAGCAUUUGGAGGGGACAUUGUGGCUUAAUGCUCUGGGAUAGUUGAAAUUGAGAUAGUUAUUGCUAUGCUUUCUUCAUACUUGUUCAUCUUGAGCUAUGAUGCCUUGCCCACAAUUAGUGAUAAUAACAACCUCGUUAUUGGAAUUGUCCUUUCUGAUACUGCUUUCAUCUGUAAUUAGCCUAGUUGGUGAUAUUGGUGUUGAUGGAUCAUAAUCAUUGCUUUUACCCCACACCACAAGGUACAGGCCCAAAACAAUGACAACUGCACCUAUCACCCUGUAAAAUUGAUUAAAUUUCUUUAGGUUAUAUAUUUUUCUUGCUAAGCAUGUGAUUAGCUUGGCAUAUGAUUUUCAUAAUUACCUUCCAAGGUACAUUUGCUCAAACAGAAUGAAUGAGCCCAUGACAGCUACAAUUACCAUGCACAGGGGACUAAACGCUGUCACAAAGACAGGACCUCUUGCUUUCAUUACUACUCCUUGGAUAUAGAAAUCAGGCAUGAUUGCUUCUAAUCUUAUGCAUUAACAUUAUAAAUUUAGAGUAAUCAGUUAAGAUGAGGAAGAUGAGGAAAAAGGAUGGGGAUGCUGGGGUUUGCUUUUCCAUUUUAUAAGCGGUGGCCAUGACGGCGCGAAUGAAAACGGACACCAAUUUGGCUGCACACACUGGGCGAGUAAGCCACUCUCUCACACACGCACACGGUGUCUCACCUUGUGAGUUGUUAUUUCAUGUUGUAUGCUCGCUCGAGCAAGAUCGAAUUGUUGCCACCUUCAGGGUGAAUGAAACUUUUAUAAUCAA